GCAGCUGAGGGGGAGCCACCUGACUUUAUGGCUCAUUAUAAUCCAUUUUAAUCCACCCGAUUCCUUUGACUCUGCCUUCUAGAUGCAUUAACUACCUUCUGCGUUAUUUUUUAAUGCUCUUGAUGUCUCAGUAAUCAAGCUACUCCUUCUGCCACUAGGGUGACCACCCAUCCCUAAUUGGGUGGGACAGCCCAGAAUGGGAUCAUCAUAGUCCCGGCACCAGGCUGCAUGACUCUAAGACACUGUUUGUCCCAGAUCUGCAGCAGUGUGUAAGGAUCCAGGUUGCUCCUUGCAGCUUGGCAAUGUUCCAGCUUGCAAGGGGCUGCUGGGAGCCGGAUGCAGGGGGCACCACACACCUGUGCACACCUGCACAUGGACAGGAAACAGCCAGGCAGUGUGAGGAGCAACUCUCUGCAGGAAUUGGGACCCCUGCUCAGAACACUCCUGAAGAAAGCCCGAAGAGAUCCUGUCAUCGGUCCAAGAUCCUGUCUUGACAUCAGACGUGGGAGCCAGGAGCUCCAGACAAGAUUUCAAGGCCUGAUCAACCAGUAAAGUUGUAUUUACAGUAUUUCAGGGUGGUGAGCAUCUGCGUUGACUAGCUACAAACCUAACAUUUUUAACUGCUACUGCUACUCCAAUUUUAAUUAGAAUUGUAUCUGUUAGGGUUCAAUAAACUUGCUUUUAGUUUAGGA